GACACGGCCCAGACUCCUACGGGAGGCAGCAGUGGGGAGUAUUGCACAGUGGGCGCAAGCCUGAUGCAGCGACGCCGCGUGAGGGAUGACGGCCUUCGGGUUGUAAACCUCUUUCGACCCUGACGAAGCGUGAGUGACGGUAGGGGGAGAAGAAGCGCCGGCCAACUACGUGCCAGCAGCCGCGGUAAGACGUAGGGCGCGGGUGUUGUCCGGAUUUAUUGGGCGUAAAGAGCUCGUAGGCGGCUCGUUGCGUCGGCUGUGAAAACCUGUGGCUUAACCAUGGGCUUGCAGCUGAUACGGGCGGGCUGGAGUUCGGUAGGGGAGACUGGAAUUCCUGGUGUAGCGGUGAAAUGCGCAGAUAUCAGGAGGAACACCGGUGGCGAAGGCGGGUCUCUGGGCCGAUACUGACGCUGAGGAGCGAAAGCGUGGGGAGCGAACAGGAUUAGAUACCCUGGUAGUCCACGCUGUAAACGUUGGGCGCUAGGUGUGGGGGGCCUCUCCGGUUCUCUGUGCCGCAGCUAACGCAUUAAGCGCCCCGCCUGGGGAGUACGGCCGCAAGGCUAAAACUCAAAGGAAUUGACGGGGGCCCGCACAAGCGGCGGAGCAUGCGGAUUAAUUCGAUGCGACGCGAAGAACCUUACCUGGGUUUGACAUGGGCGGUAAUCCGGCAGAGAUGUCGGGUCCUUCGGGGCCGUCUGCAGGUGGUGCAUGGCUGUCGUCAGCUCGUGUCGUGAGAUGUUGGGUUAAGUCCCGCAACGAGCGCAACCCUUGUUCGAUGUUGCCAGCGGGUUAUGCCGGGGACUCAUCGAAGACUGCCGGGGUCAACUCGGAGGAAGGUGGGGAUGACGUCAAGUCAUCAUGCCCCUUAAGUCCAGGGCUUCACGCAUGCUACAAUGGCCGGUACAAAGGGUUGCGAUACUGUGAGGUGGAGCGAAUCCCAAAAAGCCGGUCUCAGUUCGGAUCGGGGUCUGCAACUCGACCCCGUGAAGUCGGAGUCGCUAGUAAUCGCAGAUCAGCAACGCUGCGGUGAAUACGUUCCCGGGCCUUGUACACACCGCCCGUCACGUCACGAAAGUCGGUAACACCCGAAGCCGGUGGCCUAACCCUGUGUGGGGGGGAGCCGUCGAAGGUGGGGCUGGCGAUUGGGACGAAGUCGGAACAAGGUAGCCGUACCGGGUAGGUGCGGCUG
rnacentral:rRNA from 1 species